UACACAUGCAAGUCGAACGAUGAAGCCGGGGCUUUUUGUUUUGGUGGAUUAGUGGCGAACGGGUGAGUAAUACGUGAGUAACCUGCCCUUGUCUUUGGGAUAAGCCUGGGAAACUGGGUCUAAUACCGGAUAUUCUGCUUUUGCCGCAUGGUGGGGGUUGGAAAGAUUUUUUGGAUGGGGAUGGGCUCACGGCCUAUCAGCUUGUUGGUGGGGUGAUGGCCUACCAAGGCGUCGACGGGUAGCCGGCCUGAGAGGGUGACCGGCCACAUUGGGACUGAGAUACGGCCCAGACUCCUACGGGAGGCAGCAGUGGGGAAUAUUGCACAAUGGACGCAAGUCUGAUGCAGCGACGCCGCGUGGGGGAUGAAGGCUUUCGGGUUGUAAACUCCUUUCAGUACAGAAGAAGCAUUUUUGUGACGGUAUGUGCAGAAGAAGCGCCGGCUAACUACGUGCCAGCAGCCGCGGUAAUACGUAGGGCGCGAGCGUUGUCCGGAAUUAUUGGGCGUAAAGAGCUCGUAGGCGGUUUGUUGCGCCUGCUGUGAAAGACCGGGGCUUAACUUCGGGGUUGCAGUGGGUACGGGCAGACUAGAGUGUGGUAGGGGUAAUUGGAAUUCCUGGUGUAGCGGUGGAAUGCGCAGAUAUCAGGAGGAACACCGAUGGCGAAGGCAGGUUACUGGGCCAUUACUGACGCUGAGGAGCGAAAGCGUGGGUAGCGAACAGGAUUAGAUACCCUGGUAGUCCACGCUGUAAACGUUGGGCACUAGGUGUGGGGCCUUUUCCACGGGUUCUGCGCCGUAGCUAACGCUUUAAGUGCCCCGCCUGGGGAGUACGGCCGCAAGGUUAAAACUCAAAGGAAUUGACGGGGGCCCGCACAAGCGGCGGAGCAUGCGGAUUAAUUCGAUGCAACGCGAAGAACCUUACCAAGGCUUGACAUACACUGCGAUGUGCCAGAGAUGGUGCAGCCUUCGGGGUGGUGUACAGGUGGUGCAUGGUUGUCGUCAGCUCGUGUCGUGAGAUGUUGGGUUAAGUCCCGCAACGAGCGCAACCCUUGUCCUGUGUUGCCAGCAUGUUGUGGUGGGGACUCACGGGAGACUGCCGGGGUUAACUCGGAGGAAGGUGGGGAUGACGUCAAAUCAUCAUGCCCCUUAUGUCUUGGGCUUCACGCAUGCUACAAUGGCCGGUACAGAGG
rnacentral:rRNA from 1 species